GAGGAUAUAGCUCAGUGGUAGAGUGCGUGCUUAGCACAUACAGGUCCUGGGUUCAGUCCCCAGUACCUCCA
rnacentral:tRNA from 1 species